rnacentral:rRNA from 1 species
AGCAGCCACGGUAAUUCCAGCUCCAAUAGCGUAUAUUAAAGUUGUUGCAGUUAAAAAGCUCGUAGUUGAAUUUCGGGGUCUGUCCAUUGGUCGGGCUUCACGGUCCGUACUGGUGUGAUGGGUUCCUACCUUCUGAAUAACCAGCAUGCCAUUUAGUUGGUGACGCCGGGGAAGCAGAGCUAUUACCUUGAAAAAAUUAGAGUGCUUAAAGCAGGCUAGUGCUUGAAUAGAUUAGCAUGGAAUAAUAAAAUAGGACGGCAUGGUUCUAUUUUGUUGGUUUCUAGGAUCACCGUAAUGAUUAAUAGGGAUAGUUGGGGGCAUUAGUAUUCAAUUGUCAGAGGUGAAAUUCUUGGAUUUUAUUGAAGACUAACUUCUGCGAAAGCAUUUGCCAAGGAUGUUUUCAUUAAUCAAGAACGAAAGUUAGGGGAUCGAAGACGAUCAGAUACCGUCGUAGUCUUAACCAUAAACUAUGCCGACUAGGGAUCGGACGAUGUUAAUUUUUUUAAUGUACUCGUUCGCG